AGCACACACUUUGUCUAAUAAACUUACAUCUUUCAUUCUUUAUACAGAUUGAAGAGCUGUGGUUUGUCAGAGAUCAGCUGUGAUUAUCUGGCAGCAGCACUGACAUCCAACCCCUCCCAUCUGAGAGAGCUCAACCUGAGUGACAAUGAAAAGCUGCAGGAUUCAGGAGUGAAGCAGCUGUGUUGUUUUCUGGAGAGUCCAGGAUGUGAACUUGAAACUCUGAGAUUGAAGAGCUGUGGUUUGUCAGAGAUCAGCUGUGAUUAUCUGGGAGCAGCACUGAAGUCCAACCCCUCCAAUCUGAGAGAGCUGAACCUGAGCCUGAACAACUUGCAGGACACAGGAGUGAAGCAGCUGUGUUGUUUUCUGGAGAGUCCAGGAUGUGAACUUCAAACUCUGAGAUUGGAGGGCUGUGGUUUGUCAGAGAUCAGCUGUGAUUAUCUGGCAGCAGCACUGACAUCCAACCACUCCCAUCUGAGAGAGCUGAACCUAUGGAGAAAUGACCUGCAGAUUCCAGAUGUGAAGCAGCUGACUGAUCUUAAGGAUAGUCCAGACUGCAGACUGGAGACUCUGAGGUGGAGCUGAUGAUGGUAAACAGGACAGUAUCUGUGCUGAAAGAAAAUGAGCUGUGUCCUGAUGAUCCAGAGAGGUUCAAGCCACAGCAGCUUGUGUGUAGAGACGCUCUGACUGGGCCAUGUUACUGGGAGGUGGAGUGGAGAGCUUCAUCCAGCAGUGACCGACAGAGGAAUGAGAAGAAGCGCAGAUGACUGUCAGUGCUGCAGAGUGAACUGCUCUGACAACAGCUCCACUGUCAGACACAAUGUAGUCCAGUGUCAUCCCUGUGUGUCCCUCUGGAUCUGACAGAGGAUCAUCAGUGUAUCUGGACUGCUCUGCUGCUGCUUUGUCCUUGUACAGUCUCUGCAGAGUCUCUGUCUGACACUGGCUUCAGAUCCUCCUGGAUCAAACUCACCUGGAAAGGCUUUCAAACAACUUUGAAUAAUAAACAGAAUGUUUUUAUAAGAUAAAUAUGAUGUGUUCAUGUAUGUGUGCAGCACCUGGGCCCAGUCAGUAAUCUCCUCUCUGAGGUCAUAUAAGCUGGGGAUGAACUGGACAUUUGUUGUGAUUUGGCGCUAUAAUUGGCGAUAUAAAUAAAAUUGAAUUGAAUUGAAUUGAAUUGAUGUGAGAGGGUGGUUUUCUCUGGUGUCUCUGCUUUGUGUUCUAGGUAAUAAUAAUAAUAAUAAUACUUGAUUGCAUUUAUAUAGUGCUUUUCUAGGCACCCAAAGC